rnacentral:rRNA from 1 species
UACAGAGGCCCCGAGCGUUACUGAGAAUCACUGGGUUUAAAGGGUGCGUAGGUGGCGCGUUAAGUCCGUUGUGAAAUCCCUGGGCUCAACCCAGGAAUUGCUUCGGAUACUGGCGUGCUUGAGGCCGGUAGGGGUCACUGGAACUGACGGUGGAGCGGUGAAAUGCGUAGAUAUCGUCAGGAACGCCGAUGGUGAAGACAGGUGACUGGGCCGGAACUGACACUGAGGCACGAAAGCGUGGGUAGCAAACAGG